UCCCUCUCAGAGUCACACCUGGAGGGUUUCCAGUACUCUACCAGCCUCGACUAUGGGAGGGAAAGUCAACAAAGGCAUAUCUAUUCCACUACUAGCUUGGGCAGUGGCUAGCAAGUGGAAGACAAUCUGCUACAAAU
rfam:Ornithorhynchus anatinus chromosome 1, whole genome shotgun sequence.